AGCAGUCGCCGCGGGAAUACAGAGGGUGCGAGCGUUAAUCGGAUUUACUGGGCGUAAAGCGUGCGUAGGCGGCUUCUUAAGUUGGAUGUGAAAUCCCUGAGCUUAACUUAGGAAUUGCAUUCGAUACUGGGAAGCUAGAGUAUGGGAGAGGAUGGUAGAAUUCCAGGUGUAGCGGUGAAAUGCGUAGAGAUCUGGAGGAAUACCGAUGGCGAAGGCAGCCAUCUGGCCUAAUACUGACGCUGAGGUACGAAAGCAUGGGGAGCAAACAGGAUUAGAUACCCCGGUAGUCCCUGUCUCUUAUAC
rnacentral:rRNA from 1 species